rnacentral:tRNA from 1 species
CCGCCCGUAGCUCAGACGGAUAGAGCAGGGCCCUCCUAAGGCCAAGGUCGCAGGUUCGACUCCUGCCGGGCGGGCCA